rnacentral:tRNA from 1 species
GGGGCGUUAGCUCAGCCUGGGUCUGCAAUACGCAGGAAAGAGCACACGGCUGAAGACCGUGGUGUCAGGGAUUCAAAUUCCCUACGCCCCA